GGAGGGGUGUCAGAGUGGUCUAACGUACCUCUUUGCUAAAGAGGCAGGGGCUUUAAACCCCCUCGGGGGUUCGAAUCCCCCCCCUUCCGCCA
rnacentral:tRNA from 1 species